rnacentral:misc_RNA from 1 species
GAUGAAGAACGUAGCGAAAUGCGAUAAGUAAUGUGAAUUGCAGAAUUCAGUGAAUCAUCGUAUCUUUGAACGCACAUUGCGCCCGCCAGUAUUCUGGCGAGCAUGCCUGUUCGAGCGUCAUUUCAACCAUCAAGCCCCAGGCUUGUGUUGGAGCCCUGCGGCUGCCGCAGCCUCCCAAAACCAGUGGCGGGCUCGCUAUCACACCGAGUGCAGUAGUUUACUCUUCGCUCAGGGCGUGUGGCGGGUGCUAGCCGUGAAACCCCCAACUUCUCAAGGUUGACCUCGGAUCAGGUAGGAAUACCCGCUGAACUUAAGCAUAUCAAUAAGCGGAGGA